GUCGAGCGAGCUUGCCUAGAUGAAUUUGGUGCUUGCACCAAAUGAAACUAGAUACAAGCGAGCGGCGGACGGGUGAGUAACACGUGGGUAACCUGCCCAAGAGACUGGGAUAACACCUGGAAACAGAUGCUAAUACCGGAUAACAACACUAGACGCAUGUCUAGAGUUUAAAAGAUGGUUCUGCUAUCACUCUUGGAUGGACCUGCGGUGCAUUAGCUAGUUGGUAAGGUAACGGCUUACCAAGGCAAUGAUGCAUAGCCGAGUUGAGAGACUGAUCGGCCACAUUGGGACUGAGACACGGCCCAAACUCCUACGGGAGGCAGCAGUAGGGAAUCUUCCACAAUGGACGCAAGUCUGAUGGAGCAACGCCGCGUGAGUGAAGAAGGGUUUCGGCUCGUAAAGCUCUGUUGGUAGUGAAGAAAGAUAGAGGUAGUAACUGGCCUUUAUUUGACGGUAAUUGCUUAGAAAGUCACGGCUAACUACGUGCCAGCAGCCGCGGUAAUACGUAGGUGGCAAGCGUUGUCCGGAUUUAUUGGGCGUAAAGCGAGUGCAGGCGGUUCAAUAAGUCUGAUGUGAAAGCCUUCGGCUCAACCGGAGAAUUGCAUCAGAAACUGUUGAACUUGAGUGCAGAAGAGGAGAGUGGAACUCCAUGUGUAGCGGUGGAAUGCGUAGAUAUAUGGAAGAACACCAGUGGCG
rnacentral:rRNA from 1 species